rnacentral:rRNA from 1 species
GACAGAGGGUGCAAACGUUGUUCGGAAUUACUGGGCGUAAAGCGCGUGUAGGCGGCCCGGAAAGUCGGAUGUGAAAGCCCUGGGCUUAACCUAGGAAGUGCAUUCGAAACUGCCGGGCUUGAGUUCUGGAGAGGAAGGCGGAAUUCUCGGUGUAGAGGUGAAAUUCGUAGAUAUCAGGAGGAACGCCGGAGGCGAAAGCGAGUGACUGGCGCGUUCCUGACGCUGAGGUGCGAAAGCUAGGGGAGCAAACAGG